rnacentral:rRNA from 1 species
UUAGAGGAAGUAAAAGUCGUAACAAGGUUUCCGUAGGUGAACCUGCGGAAGGAUCAUUACAGAAAGUAAACGCGGAUCAAACCGCGAACUUCUAAACCUUUGACGAUCGACUCAUGUUGCCUCGGCGGGUGCUCCCGCCAGAGGAUACAUCAAAACUCAUGUUUUAACGGUGUUGUCUGAGCUACAAGCAACGAAUCAAAACUUUCAACAACGGAUCUCUUGGUUCUGGCAUCGAUGAAGAACGCAGCGAAAUGCGAUAAGUAGUGUGAAUUGCAGAAUUCAGUGAAUCAUCGAAUCUUUGAACGCACAUUGCGCCCCUUGGUAUCCCGAGGGGCAUGCCUGUUCGAGCGUCAUUUCACCACUCAAGCCUGGCUUGGUGUUGGGCGACGUCCCCUUUGGGGACGCGCUUCGAAACGCUCGGCGGCGUGGCAUCGGCUUUAAGCGUAGCAGAAUCUUUCGCUUUGAAAGUCGGGGCCCCGUCUGCCGGAAGACCUACUCGCAAGGUUGACCUCGGAUCAGGUAGGGAUACCCGCUGAACUUAAGCAUAUCAAUAA